UACGUAGGGUGCAGGCGUUAAUCGGAAUUACUGGGCGUAAAGCGUGCGCAGGCGGUUUGCUAAGACAGGUGUGAAAUCCCCGGGCUUAACCUGGGAACUGCGCUUGUUACUGGCAAGCUGGAGUGUGGCAGAGGGGGGUGGAAUUCCACGUGUAGCAGUGAAAUGCGUAGAGAUGUGGAGGAACACCGGUGGCGAAGGCAGCCCCCUGGGCUAACACUGACGCUCAUGCCCGAAAGCGUGGGGAGCAAACAGG
rnacentral:rRNA from 1 species